GACGAACGCUGGCGGCGUGCUUAACACAUGCAAGUCGAGCGGUAAGGCCCUUUCGGGGGUACACGAGCGGCGAACGGGUGAGUAACACGUGGGUGACCUGCCCUCAGCUCUGGGAUAAGCCUGGGAAACCGGGUCUAAUACCGGAUAUGACUCCAUGACGCAUGUUGUGGGGUGGAAAGCCUUGUGCGGCUGAGGAUGGGCCCGCGGCCUAUCAGCUUGUUGGUGGGGUGAUGGCCUACCAAGGCGACGACGGGUAGCCGGCCUGAGAGGGCGACCGGCCACACUGGGACUGAGACACGGCCCAGACUCCUACGGGAGGCAGCAGUGGGGAAUCUGCGCAAUGGGCGAAAGCCUGACGCAGCGACGCCGCGUGA
rnacentral:rRNA from 1 species